rnacentral:rRNA from 1 species
UGGGGAAUAUUGCACAAUGGGCGAAAGCCUGAUGCAGCAACGCCGCGUGAGUGAUGAAGGUCUUCGGAUUGUAAAGCUCUGUCUUUUGGGACGAUAAUGACGGUACCAAAGGAGGAAGCCACGGCUAACUACGUGCCAGCAGCCGCGGUAAUACGUAGGUGGCGAGCGUUGUCCGGAUUUACUGGGCGUAAAGGGUGCGUAGGCGGAUGUUUAAGUGAGAUGUGAAAUACCCGGGCUUAACUUGGGUGCUGCAUUUCAAACUGGAUAUCUAGAGUGCAGGAGAGGAGAAUGGAAUUCCUAGUGUAGCGGUGAAAAUGCNUAGAGAUUAGGAAGAACACCAGUGGCGAAGGCGAUUCUCUGGACUGUAACUGACGCUGAGGCACGAAAAGCGUGGGUAGCAAACAGGAUUAGAUACCCUGGUAGUCCACGCCGUAAAACGAUGAGUACUAGGUGUAGGAGGUAUCGACCCCCUUCUGUGCCGCAGUAAAACACAUC